AUUGAACGCUGGCGGCAUGCCUUACACAUGCAAGUCGAACGGCAGCACGGGUGCUUGCACCUGGUGGCGAGUGGCGAACGGGUGAGUAAUACAUCGGAACAUGUCCUGUAGUGGGGGAUAGCCCGGCGAAAGCCGGAUUAAUACCGCAUACGAUCUACGGAUGAAAGCGGGGGACCUUCGGGCCUCGCGCUAUAGGGUUGGCCGAUGGCUGAUUAGCUAGUUGGUGGGGUAAAGGCCUACCAAGGCGACGAUCAGUAGCUGGUCUGAGAGGACGACCAGCCACACUGGGACUGAGACACGGCCCAGACCCCUACGGGAGGCAGCAGUGGGGAAUUUUGGACAAUGGGCGAACGCCUGAUCCAGCAAUGCCGCGUGUGAAGAAGGCCUUCGGGUUGUAAAGCACUUUUGUCCGGAAAGAAAUCCUUGGCCCUAAUACGGUCGGGGGAUGACGGUACCGGAAGAAUAAGCACCGGCUAACUACGUG
rnacentral:rRNA from 1 species